rnacentral:rRNA from 1 species
UAGCCGUAAACGAUACUCGCUAGGUGUCGGCCACGGUGCGACCGUUGUCGGUGCCGUAGGGAAGCCGUGAAGCGAGCCACCUGGGAAGUACGGCCGCAAGGCUGAAACUUAAGGAAUUGGCGGGGAGCACCACAACGGGUGGAGCUUGCGGUUUAAUUGGAUUCAACGCCGGAAAUCUUACCGGGACCGACAGCAACAUGAAGGCCAGGCUGAAGACUUUGCCGGAUUAGCUGAGAGGUGGUGCAUGGCGUAGUCGUGU